rnacentral:rRNA from 1 species
UACGUAGGGGCCUAGCGUUGUUCGGAUUCAUUGGGCGUAAAGGGUGCGUAGGCGGCGCGGUAAGUCGGGUGUGAAAUCUCGGAGCUUAACUCCGAAACUGCAUUCGAUACUGCCGUGCUUGAGGACUGGAGAGGAGACUGGAAUUUACGGUGUAGCGGUGAAAUGCGUAGAUAUCGUAAGGAAGACCAGUGGCGAAGGCGGGUCUCUGGACAGUUCCUGACGCUGAGGCACGAAGGCCAGGGGAGCAAACGGG